AGAUACUAGGGCCCAAAGGCCAGACACCUGGCGCGAGCCCGCUUGCAAGAGGAAUUUUGACCUUAGGGCACGCCAAAAACAUAAAUAAGUAACCGUUUUUCACAGAAAAACCAGGGGAUUAUGAAUGUUUAUGACGACUGCGGAAAUGCGCAGCACGAAACAAUCUGGUAUCG
rfam:Lachnoclostridium sp. An14 An14_contig_45, whole genome shotgun sequence.